CAACUCGCCUACAUGAAGUCGGAAUCGCUAGUAACCGCGGAUCAGCAUGCCGCGGUGAAUACGCUCCCGGGCCUUGUACACACCGCCCGUCACACCAUGAGAGUUUGUAACACCCAAAGCCGGUGGGGUAACCUUUUGGAGCCAGCCGUCUAAGGUGGGACAGAUGAUUGGGGUGAAGUCGUAACAAGGUAGC
rnacentral:rRNA from 1 species